AUUAUUUGAAUAUAUGUACUAUUCUAAAUAUUAUUAAUUAUAUUUCAAAUUCAAAUUUUAUAUACACAACUUAUUCAGGCCACAACCAGUGGCAAGUAUAACAGUUUCUUGUUUUAACUCGUCUUAAGCUAUUUUUCACGUCGGUCGCGAGGAAGAUUUUACAGGAAAAUACUCGUCUGUGGUCAAAGCAUAGAAAUGCAAGCACCGGGAUAAUUUCUUUUAUUUUAAUUUUAAACGUGUAAUCGUGUAAAUCGCAACAGCUUAAAAAGUUUUUGUUUAAUAUCGUGGUUAGAGAGACAGUAAAAAUUAAAGAUGUCUGAUAAUCGAAAAAGGCUUUCUGGCGCACAGUACAGAAAAAGAAAGCGUGAAAAGGAAGAAUUAGUUAAAAAGGCUAGUGGUUCACUCGAAACGUUUUUAAUCUCAACAACAUCACAGGAGGCACCAUCAAGUUCCCAAGCUCGAGAUGUAAAUGUGACGGAGACCGAAUUCAUAGUGGUCAGUAGCGG